rnacentral:rRNA from 1 species
CAGUCGAGCGAACAGACGAGGAGCUUGCUCCUCUGACGUUAGCGGCGGACGGGUGAGUAACACGUGGGUAACCUACCUAUAAGACUGGGAUAACUCCGGGAAACCGGGGCUAAUACCGGAUAACACAUGAAACCGCAUGGUUUCAUGAUGAAAGACGGUUUUGCUGUCACUUAUAGAUGGACCCGCGGCGUAUUAGCUAGUUGGUAAGGUAACGGCUUACCAAGGCAACGAUACGUAGCCGACCUGAGAGGGUGAUCGGCCACACUGGAACUGAGACACGGUCCAGACUCCUACGGGAGGCAGCAGUAGGGAAUCUUCCGCAAUGGGCGAAAGCCUGACGGAGCAACGCCGCGUGAGUGAUGAAGGUCUUCGGAUCGUAAAACUCUGUUAUUAGGGAAGAACAAGGAUGUAAGUAACUAUGCAUCCCUUGACGGUACCUAAUCAGAAAGCCACGGCUAACUACGUGCCAGCAGCCGCGGUAAUACGUAGGUGGCAAGCGUUAUCCGGAAUUAUUGGGCGUAAAGCGCGCGUAGGCGGUUUUUUAAGUCUGAUGUGAAAGCCCACGGCUCAACCGUGGAGGGUCAUUGGAAACUGGAAAACUUGAGUGCAGAAGAGGAAAGUGGAAUUCCAUGUGUAGCGGUGAAAUGCGCAGAGAUAUGGAGGAACAGCUAGUGGCGAAUGCGACUUUCUGGUCUGCAACUGACGCUGAUGUGCGAAAGCGUGAGAUCAAACAGAUUAGAUACCCUGCUAGUCCACGCGUAACGAUGA